ensembl:snRNA U6 U6 spliceosomal RNA
GCGCUGGCCUGGGCAGCGCACAUGCUAAAGUUGGAACAAUACUGAGAUGAUUAGCAUGGCCUCUGCGCAAAGAUGACAUGCCCAUUCGUGAAACGUUCCAUAUUUAG